rfam:Angiostrongylus costaricensis strain Costa Rica genome assembly, scaffold: ACOC_scaffold0002496
GGGGGUAUAGCUCAGUGGUAGAGCGCUAACUUAGCAUGGGAGAGGGCUGGUUUUCAAUUCCCCAUACCUCCA